UAUUUUGGAAAAUAAACAUUUUACUUCAUAUUUCCAAUUUUCUGCCUAACAACAUGGUAGGUCCUCUGCUUCUCAUGCGUGAAGAGAGAUUACCGAGGACUUGAGUACUCACCCCCUCUUCAGCCAGCCAUCUACAAAUAGUGUUUCCUUAGACCCUGAUCCUGAAGAGAGCUGGUUCACAGGAUAGUCAUGGAGCAUCACUGAAAGCCAGGAGGGUCUACCUGCAUGGAAACUCCUUGAAGGAAUCACACUGAUCUCAUGUUCCAAGAAUGAAACCCUGGCAUGGAAGUGGCAUAUCUGCUAGUUAAUGUCAACGUUUGAUGUGCAAUCAGAGAGCAAACAGGAUUUUGUAUUGUGGUAGAAACUGAAUUACUAUUUGCUUUAAUUCAGUUUUCUUUGUGUCAGAUAUAUUAGGAGUCUCAUAAAAUAGUAAAAGAAUUUCAUUCUUACUUGGAAAAAAAAAAAAGAAAAAGAAAAAGUAGCAACUUCUACAAGUUCAAGAAAAGUGCUGUAAUACCUAGCUAGUAAGGAAUAGUUUGUAAUGUCCUUUGCAGAAAAUAUCAUAAUGAAAGACCUCAGUGAUUUGCACAAUACUACACUAUUAAGGAGAGAAAGGGCACACUUAUCUGUGAAUUAACUACCCUGUAGCAAAAGGAAAUUCCUCUAUGACUUAAAGAUGGGCAAGGCCAGACUAAGUUAUCAUCUUGAGUGGGUACAGCUAAGCUGUCUAAAUCUCACCAGCUAUGGAAGCUACACCCUGUGUGAAUAAUACAGUUCAUCCAUGUGCUGGAUUGGCCUCUACUCUCCUGGACCAAAGGAGCUCCUGUUUCAAACUCUGACGUCCCAAGUCUGGGAGGAAUGGAGCUGUUUAGACUCCCAUAAGUUGGUGCUCAGAACCACCAGGAUUUAUUCUUAGGUUCACAAAUACAGUAAUUAAUAACAACCAGCACCAGCACAGCACUACUUCUGUAAGUCUUAGAGCAGAAACACCUGCGGCAUAUCCCACCCUGGCAGGGAAAUGGAGCUGGUGACCUAACCGUCUUUUCCACCUCUAGCUCCUGGGUUUUUAUGAAUUGUCAGUCACACCUAAGUGUGAUAUCGCUAUAAAACCCCAGCCACAUAGGAAAACUGGCAGAAGGCUUUGGCUGUGCAAUUCUGUGGUUUUAUGCUUAGCUGUGGCCAAAAGACUGAAAGGACUUUAAAGGGUCAGUGUUGACAGUUGCCUUCAGAUUAUUCAAAGACACAAAAUCCAGUUACAUAAACAGCAAACUCACCUGAAGUUUGGGCUGUGGAACAGAUGCAGCUCUGAAAAACUGGGGUAGAGCUCGCUCCUCUGCAUUUUUCUGUGUAAUAUGCUGCAGUAGGAAGGUUUCCUUGUUUCAAGCACAAUAACAGUUUAAUAAAGCAAUGAAAAUAUGUAUGAAA